rnacentral:rRNA from 1 species
AACGCACCUUGCGCUCUAUGGUAUUCCGUAGAGCAUGCCUGUUUGAGUGUCAUGAAAACAAUCAACCUGACAUUGGGUAACUCCUUUAGUUUGGCUUGGACCUGGGUGUUUGCCAUCAUUUCUGAUGGCUCAUCUUAAAUAUAUUAGCUGGACUCGUUUUUGCAAACUGGUUUGACUUGGCGUAAUAAGUAUUUCGCUAAGGACAUCUUUCGGGAUGGCCAAUCUGCUCAACAAUUGUCUGCUCUCCAACCUAUGUUCUCUAGUAGACAUGACUUUUAUUAUUUGGCCUCAAAUCAGGUAGGACUACCCGCUGAACUUAA